AUCAAUGGCCGCGGUACUUUGACCGUGCUAAGGUAGAGUAAUCAAUUGGUUUUUAAUUGGAGCCAGGAAUGAAUGGAGUUACGGGGUUUAACUGUCUCUUAUUUAAUUUAUCGAAUUUACUGUGCAGGUGAAAAAGCCUGCAUUAAGAAAAAGGACGAGAAGACCCUUAGAGUUUUACUAAAAUUGGAGUAAUCUCCAUAACAGUUUAGUUGGGGCAACAUAGGAGCAAAUUAAUUAAUCUCCUGAAAAUAAUUUAUCGAUUAUUUUAGUAUUGAAUAAACUACCUUAGGGAUAACAGCAUAAUUUUAAUAAUAAGUUUGUGACCUCGAUGUUGGACUGGGAAACUUAAAGGUUAGCCGCCUUUAAGGUAAGUUCUGGGCGAAC
rnacentral:rRNA from 1 species